AUUUAGCAAAACGAAACCACGGUUUGCCAGUGUCUUAAGGGCAGGCACUGGAGAUAAGGUGCCCCUGUCCUGGUGGAACCCACAGGUCAGUGGGCGGGGCCUUGGGGCGGAGCCAUGGAAGCUGCGAGGAAGGCGUGGGCAGAGUCCGGAGGGAACAGGAAGACCACUGCUAACCCUUAGGAGCCAAACCACGAGAACAGCAUGAGACAGAUAUUCUCUGCGUGUGACCAGACGCUGCACCCGACAGGCCUGUCCCCUCCCCUUGCCUGUAUCCAGGGCAUCGGCCUGUUUCACAUGGAAACCUCCUAACUCUGCCCUGCUUGCCCUGUGGCCUUGCCAAGGCUGCAACUGGAGCCAGCUCUUUGGAAGGACACAGACACGGGUCAUUUCUACGAGCUAAUGAAUUCUUUAAAUCCUUGGGACUUACUGGCCCUGGGCGGAGUGCUUUGAUUGCUUCUUUCAGAGGAACUGGGCCUAGAAAGAUAAAUACCCGUGGAGGGCUAGGACCCUGCGGGGCUAGGGCCACAGAGAGCUAGGGAUGUAGGUCGGGGAGAAGAGCGGCCACCUGGCAGGCAGGAAGCACUGGGUUCGAUCCUAGCCCUGCACAAACGGGCCCAAGUCUGUCAUUUGUAUACUUGAGCUCCACCUGGACUACACAAGAGCCUUUCUUAUUUAUUUAUUUAUUUAUUUAUUUAUUUAUUUAUUGGUUGGUUGGUUGGUUGGUUUUUCGAGACAGGGUUUCUCCGUAUAGUUCUAGCUGUCCCGGAAUUCACUCUGUAGACCAGGCUGGCCUCGAACUCAAAAAUCUGCCUGCCUCUGCCUCCCAAGUGCUGGGAUUAAAGGCAUGCGCCACCACUGCCCAACUCACAAGAGCUUUUUUUGUUUUUUGUUUUGUUUUUGUUUUUGUUUUGCUGUUUUCAGAGACGGGGGUUUCUCUGUAUAGCCCUGGCUGUCCUGGAACUCACUCUGUAGACCAGGCUGGCCUCGAAAUCAGAAAACCGCCCGGCUCUGCCUACCAAGUGCCCGGAUUAAAGGUUUGUGCCACCACCGCCCAACCACAAGAGCCUUUCUUAAACAAACAAACAAACAAACAAAUAAUAAUUGCUAUGAAAAAGUGUCUUGGUGAGCCUGAGGCUGUUCUGUCGCACUUACAACACUGGGGCUUCUGUAUGCGUCACUACGAGGGUCCUUGACUGGGACCUAGGGCUUUCUACUGUGAGUGCUUGGUGUCAGUUCCUGGUCUGCCAGGGGGAACUCUUAAAAAGCUGCCAAAUACAAAUGAGGCGAAGCCCUGCCCCCAGCAGACAGAGCCCUUCCUUCUCAACCACUUCAGCUUACCCACUUUACUUCAGCUUACCCAGCUUACUCCCUUUCCGGUUUGCCUCUAGGCGGAUGCCUAGCAGAAUAAGUGAGAACGCCUCACAAGGAAAGCCAGCUAUCGCUGUUGCGGACUCUGAGCCUCUAGGUUGGCCACACUUUGAAAGUGUAACCCAGUCAGGCUUGGUUUGGGUUAAAAACCAAGAAACUUGAGUGUUGAGGUGAAACCCAAGCGGUGGCCUUUGACAACCUAGGCUCAACCAUGAUGCUCUUACAGAACGCCCCCUUUAACAACCUAGGCUCAAACCAUGAUGCUCUUACAGAACGCCCGGGUCAGAGCCGUCCCCAGCCCCUCCCUGCGGUCUCCAAGAACGGUGCCCUCCCGUUUGGUGUGGCUCCAUUGAGCAGGCUCCUCACUGACUCCCAUUAGCCAUUGGUCUGCCACAGAUGGCUUGGCCACUCCAUCCUCAACUUGUCACUUGGAGUUUCCCCCCUCCCCCCGAAGUUACUUAACAGCCAGCCACGUCCCACCGUCUCAGGGCAGUGACCCUGGUCUCAGGGUCGCCCUUUCUUGUCUGCACCACCAGCCCUAAUCUCAAGAUCCCACCCAGCCUUAUGCGAAGAGGUUCCUUGUCCACACAGCCUCCAAGAUGGUCCAUCUUGGUCAUCCCACGGUCCUUCCAGAACUGUUGAGCAGUUUCCAUUGCUCUUGGGAUAGAAUGGGUAUUGUACUGGCUGGUUUUGUGUGUCAAUUUGACACAGGCUGGAGUUGUCAGAGAGAAAGGAGUUUCCGUUGGGGAAGAGCCUCCACGAGAUCCAGCUGUGAGGCAUUUUCUCAAUUACUGAUCAAGGGGGGAGGGCCCCUUGUGGGUGGUGCCAUCCCUGGGCUGGUAGUCCUGAGUUCUAUAGGAAAGCAAGCUGAGCAAGCCAGGGGAAGCAAGCCAGUAAGGAACAUCCCUCCAUGGCCUCUGCAUCAGCUCCUGCUUCCUGACCUGCUUGAGUUCCAGUCCUGACUUCCUUUGGUGAUGAACAGCAGUGUGGAAGUGUAAUCUGAAUAAACCCUUUC